rnacentral:rRNA from 1 species
UACGGGGGGAGCAAGCGUUGUUCGGAUUUACUGGGCGUAAAGGGCGCGUAGGCGGCCACCGCAAGUCGGUUGUGAAAUCCCUCGGCUCAACCGAGGAACUGCAUCCGAUACUGGCGGGCUUGAAUCCGGGAGAGGGAUGUGGAAUUCCAGGUGUAGCGGUGAAAUGCGUAGAUAUCUGGAGGAACACCGGUGGCGAAGGCGGCCCACUGGGUCUUUUCUGACGCUGAGGGACGAAAGCUAGGGGAGCGAACGGG